CUGCAGCUCUUAAUGUGAAAGUACCUACCGGAAGUGAAUAUUGUAUGUAAAUUCUCCAGCUUAUUAGAGUAGCUGUAGUUACCAUCUGAGUCCACUUCUACGGAGCCCCCUACGGGACAUGGGGAAUUUUUUUUCUUUUGCGUUCCCUCGCAAAACUGUACUGAUCAGUUAUGCGGCAUAAUUGAAUACUGUAAGUCUUUCUUACGGUGGCCGCCGUACUUUCUGCUUUAAUAUAAGGUUAUGUAAGGUUCCAUGUAUGUUAAUAUCUCGUUGUGAAAUAUCUGGAGUUUUAUAUCUUUCUUUAGGAUAGAAAGGCACCACAAACCUAUGAUACAAACAGAAACCUUCCGUAAGUAGGAAAGAAAUAAAAAUACAUCCAAACUAUAUUUCUGAGUUAUUAUCGCGGCGUAAUAAGUCAUCUGACAGUUUUGAUUGUGUCGCUGUUGUGCUGGUUGUCUGAAUGGUUUAAAGAGCUGCUUUCAUGUUCAGUUCCAUCUUAACCUUAACAGACAUAAACAUGCAGUGAAUAAAUCGAUUUUCAAUCAGUUUUUUACACCAAAAACUUUAUAAUAAUAAACACGUUUUAUUAUUUAAAAACACGACAAAGUAAUUAUGGUAAAGGGCCGUAUUGGGUGAACUCGGGAAAUCUCAUCUGUCCGUGUAUCAAUUAACUCCAAACCACUUCUUUGUUCUGUCACAUUUAUCGAUUUAUUCCAUUUUGAUUAUCAUGCUCCAAACUUUGCAAGGACUGACCGCCCCGCUCACCACUUCCUCAUACACACAAACCAGCAGGCCAGUAACCUUCCCAUUCAUACUUAAUGACGUCACUCCCACAUCGACACACCCACCACCCAAGUGUCAAAGUCGCGUGCUCCUGUCAUAUCAAUAAUUACUUAUUUCACUCAUAAGGCUCUUACAGAGCCUCAGUGAAAACGUGUAAUAAAAGAAAAGGCCUUCCAGUAACUGUGGGUGCAUCAGCGCCACCUCCUCCACACACACAUCUCUACCUCACCAACUUGCAACACAAAGUUACACCCUUGCAUUCAAAUAAUGAUAUAUGUCACAUUUUUUAUUUUUUCUGCAUAAUGUGCAUUGCAUGUAUUCUAACGUUGGGCAAACGUAUCUUGAACGAGAAUAUUAAAGAAAAGUGCAAGAAGUAAUAAAAACUUUAACGUUAAUCCUCACCUUCCGUUUCCAGCUUCUCUCCUAACCGUACAGGUGAGAGCUUCUAUGAUUGUCCUGUAGGUGGCGGUAAAUACACUUGAAGUUGGUUUGCCAGCCGCCAGUAACACCCAGAAGAAGAUCAACACUGGUUUUGUAUUUCAUUUGAAACUGAUCUGCUUUGCUCGUUCAGAGUUUCAGGAUGAACUGAGGAUAAUCUGCCACUGUUUCUCCAUCCCUCCUGGUUCUGGUUCCGGUCCUGGUUCUGGUCCUGGUCCUGGUUCUGGUCCUGGUCCUGGUCCUUCAUCCCUCCUGUCGGUUCUGUUCGGUCCGUUUGUCCUCAUCAUGGUGGUUUUGUUUAGUCCAGUUGUCUGCAACCUGUACAAUCUAGAGACAUUUUAUUUUAUUUUUAUUUUCCAGUUUAAUAAAUCGGGUCCAAAGCCACAAAA